rnacentral:tRNA from 1 species
GCACCCGUAGCUCAGCUGGAUAGAGCGCUGGCUUGCGGAGCCAGAGGUCAUAGGUUCGACUCCUGUCGGGUGCACCA